rnacentral:rRNA from 1 species
GGUUAAGCGACUAAGCGUACACGGUGGAUGCCCUGGCAGUCAGAGGCGAUGAAGGACGUGCUAAUCUGCGAAAAGCGUCGGUAAGGUGAUAUGAACCGUUAUAGCCGGCGAUGUCCGAAUGGGGAAACCCAGUGCAAUUCGUUGCACUAUCGUUAACUGAAUACAUAGGUUAACGAGGCGAACCGGGGGAACUGAAACAUCUAAGUACCCCGAGGAAAAGAAAUCAACCGAGAUUCCCCCAGUAGCGGCGAGCGAACGGGGAGCAGCCCGGAGUCUGAAUCAGCUUGUGUGUUAGUGGAAGCGUCUGGAAAGUCGCAGGGUACAGGGUGAUACUCCCGUACACUAAAGCACACAGGUUGUGAACUCGAAGAGUAGGGCGGGACACGUGGUAUCCUGUCUGAAUAUGGGGGGACCAUCCUCCAAGGCUAAAUACUCCUGACUGACCGAUAGUGAACCAGUACCGUGAGGGAAAGGCGAAAAGAACCCCGGCGAGGGGAGUGAAAAAGAACCUGAAACCGUGUACGUACAAGCAGUAGGAGCCCACUUGUUGGGUGACUGCGUACCUUUUGUAUAAUGGGUCAGCGACUUAUAUUCUGUAGCAAGGUUAACCGUAUAGGGGAGCCGCAGGGAAACCGAGUCUUAACUGGGCGUUAAGUUGCAGGGUAUAGACCCGAAACCCGGUGAUCUAGCCAUGGGCAGGUUGAAGGUUGGGUAACACUAACUGGAGGACCGAACCGACUAAUGUUGAAAAAUUAGCGGAUGACUUGUGGCUGGGGGUGAAAGGCCAAUCAAACCGGGAGAUAGCUGGUUCUCCCCGAAAGCUAUUUAGGUAGCGCCUCGUGAACUCAUCUUCGGGGGUAGAGCACUGUUUCGGCUAGGGGGUCAUCCCGACUUACCAACCCGAUGCAAACUACGAAUACCGAAGAAUGUUAUCACGGGAGACACACGGCGGGUGCUAACGUCCGUCGUGAAGAGGGAAACAACCCAGACCGCCAGCUAAGGUCCCAAAGUCAUGGUUAAGUGGGAAACGAUGUGGGAAGGCCCAGACAGCCAGGAUGUUGGCUUAGAAGCAGCCAUCAUUUAAAGAAAGCGUAAUAGCUCACUGGUCGAGUCGGCCUGCGCGGAAGAUGUAACGGGGCUAAACCAUGCACCGAAGCUGCGGCAGCGACGCUUAUGCGUUGUUGGGUAGGGGAGCGUUCUGUAAGCCGUUGAAGGUGGCCUGUGAGGGUUGCUGGAGGUAUCAGAAGUGCGAAUGCUGACAUAAGUAACGAUAAUGCGGGUGAAAAACCCGCACGCCGGAAGACCAAGGGUUCCUGUCCAACGUUAAUCGGGGCAGGGUGAGUCGACCCCUAAGGCGAGGCCGAAAGGCGUAGUCGAUGGGAAACAGGUUAAUAUUCCUGUACUCGGUGUUACUGCGAAGGGGGGACGGAGAAGGCUAUGUUGGCCGGGCGACGGUUGUCCCGGUUUAAGCAUGUAGGCGGAUGUUCCAGGUAAAUCCGGAACGUCACUAACGCUGAGGUGUGAUGACGAGGCACUACGGUGCUGAAGUGACAAAUGCCCUGCUUCCAGGAAAAGCCUCUAAGCAUCAGGUAACAUCAAAUCGUACCCCAAACCGACACAGGUGGUCAGGUAGAGAAUACCAAGGCGCUUGAGAGAACUCGGGUGAAGGAACUAGGCAAAAUGGUGCCGUAACUUCGGGAGAAGGCACGCUGAUGGUAGGUGAAGUGACUUGCUCAUGGAGCUGAAAUCAGUCGAAGAUACCAGCUGGCUGCAACUGUUUAUUAAAAACACAGCACUGUGCAAACACGAAAGUGGACGUAUACGGUGUGACGCCUGCCCGGUGCCGGAAGGUUAAUUGAUGGGGUUAUCCGUAAGGAGAAGCUCUUGAUCGAAGCCCCGGUAAACGGCGGCCGUAACUAUAACGGUCCUAAGGUAGCGAAAUUCCUUGUCGGGUAAGUUCCGACCUGCACGA